rnacentral:rRNA from 1 species
AGAACGAACGCUGGCGGCAUGCCUAAUACAUGCAAGUCGAACGAGACCUUCGGGUCUAGUGGCGCACGGGUGCGUAACGCGUGGGAAUCUGCCCUUGGGUUCGGAAUAGCAGUUGGAAACGACUGCUAAUACCGGAUGAUGACGUAAGUCCAAAGAUUUAUCGCCCAAGGAUGAGCCCGCGUAGGAUUAGGUAGUUGGUGAGGUAAAGGCUCACCAAGCCGACGAUCCUUAGCUGGUCUGAGAGGAUGAUCAGCCACACUGGGACUGAGACACGGCCCAGACUCCUACGGGAGGCAGCAGUAGGGAAUGUGGACAAUGGGGGCAACCCUGAUCCAGCAAUGACCGCGUGAGUGAUGAAGGCCUUAAGGGUGUAAAGCUCGUUUUACCCGAGAUGAUAAUGACAGUAUCGGAAGAAUAAGCUACCGGCUAAACUCCGUAGACCAGCAAGUCCCGGAC